CGCAGGGCACCUGGUGAAGCCGGCAGCUGUUUCUAGGGAUUUGUGCUCCUGGCCCAGCUGUAGAAGAACUGGGUUUCUCAUACAUUAUUAUCCCAGCCCCUGCUGCAACCCAUGGUUAGUUCUCCCCCUUUCCCUGCAGGACUGUGUUUUUAGGAAACUAACAGAUCUUUGGACUCCUCACUAUGGCACCUGCUAUCCUGGGUCUACCCCCAGUCAUCCUUAGUCUGGUAACUCCUGGUUACUAUAGGGAUGAGAUGCAGAGACUCUGGAUGGUUGUAAGCCUGCGAUUUACUCCUGACCAUCCAACUCAUAAUAUGCCUCGAGCCUGUAUAAGUGUCAGUUUGUGGCAGGUGAGCGAAUGCUGCUUGAAGUCCUCAUCCCCUUUUUCAUCAAGUUUAACAUGUCUCCCCUUGAAAUGGCAGAGACUUCCUCUGGAAUUGUACUGUGGGACAGACCAAAUGUACUGGAUAAUGGCGGCACAUGUCCAGGAACUGACUAGAUGUGUGUCACCCAGGACUCUGAUGGAUCUUCUUGCUCCUGCAGAUUGGUGACUUAGAGCAACUGGACUUAAAGCUUGGGAUCCCAAUGCGUGAUGGUAGCUCUUCUGGGCCCUGACUCUUGCAGCCUCAGUGAAGAUUUUAUGCAUCUAUUUCUCUGCUUGCUCCACACAUUUCCAGUUUCCAGUCCCUCCUGCU